CUUCAGCUCAUGAUGCUUUGAUUUCCUGUCUCUUCCCUCCUUUUCCCGGGUUUCACAUUCGGUUUCCCUGUCUCAGCCCUCCAAUGAACUGAUCCAUCUCCUCUCAAUUUCAAUAAUCAUGAAUCUGGUCACUUUUGCUUUACCACCAUCACUUCAUUCUCUUUCAAAAACUUCAAUCCAUUUCUUUGCCUGAUCCAGUGACCCUAAAGCUCUACCAAUUUACAAUCUUCUCAAACCCUCCCAAGUUUCUGGGUUUUUACGACUAAUUCUAUAGAAAAACCAAAACCCGUUUUAGCAAAAUGAAGACUUGGUUGAUUCUUGCAGAUGAUAGAUAGAGAUUCUUUAUUUAUUUCAGUAGCUGAGACACUAUGACUUCGGGGACGAGGCUACCAACAUGGAAGGAAAGAGAGAACAACAAAAGGAGAGAAAGGAGAAGGAGGGCAAUAGCAGCAAAGAUCUUCGCAGGAUUAAGGAUGUAUGGUAACUACAAGCUUCCUAAGCACUGUGACAACAACGA
rnacentral:misc_RNA from 1 species